rnacentral:rRNA from 1 species
AUUGAACGCUGGCGGCAUGCCUUACACAUGCAAGUCGAACGGCAGCGGGCCCUUCGGGGUGCCGGCGAGUGGCGAACGGGUGAGUAAUGCAUCGGAACGUACCCGGGAGAGGGGGAUAACCGGCCGAAAGGCUGGCUAAUACCGCACGAACUCGGAAGAGCAAAGCGGGGGACCUUCGGGCCUCGCGCUCUCGGAGCGGCCGAUGUCCGAUUAGGCUAGUUGGUGGGGUAAAGGCCCACCAAGGCGACGAUCGGUAGCGGGUCUGAGAGGACGAUCCGCCACACUGGGACUGAGACACGGCCCAGACUCCUACGGGAGGCAGCAGUGGGGAAUCUUGGACAAUGGGCGCAAGCCUGAUCCAGCAAUGCCGCGUGGGUGAAGAAGGCCUUCGGGUUGUAAAGCCCUUUCGGCGGGGAAGAAAUCGGUCAGGCGAAUAGUCUGGCCGGAUGACGGUACCCGCAGAAGAAGCACCGGCUAACUACGUG